AUACGGAGGGUGCGAGCGUUGUUCGGAAUCACUGGGCGUAAAGGGCGCGCAGGCGGUCUGUCAAGUCAGAUGUGAAAGCCCACGGCUCAACCGUGGACGUGCAUCUGAAACUGGCAGACUCGAGUACCGGAGGGGAAAGUGGAAUUCCCGGUGUAGAGGUGAAAUUCGUAGAUAUCGGGAGGAAUACCGGAGGCGAAGGCGACUUUCUGGACGGAUACUGACGCUGAGGCGCGAAAGCGUGGGGAGCGAACAGGAUUAGAAACCCCUGUAGUCC
rnacentral:rRNA from 1 species